UUGUAAGUAAAUAUCUUUUAGUACCAUAAAGUUUGUCUAAUUGGUACCCUGUACCAGUGCAAGGACUUGAUGGAAAUUGAAAGAGUGACUUACAGCAUAAGCUCUCCCUGUGUGCCCUGUGAGUUGGUUCAGUCCUGUUUUGCAUAAGUUCCUUUUGAGUAGAGCCAUGUGUGGGUGCAUAGUACUGAAGACUUUCUGAUUGCCUGAGUGGAUGUAUGUCUUGGAGAAAAACUGUGUGCAUUAGCUGCAAACAGGACCAUUCUCAACAUGUACUGUGCUUAUCCUGUCCCAGGAAUGGGUAGCAGUUCCCUGAUGUAUUACUACAAUGGGAAAACGGUGUAUGCACCAUCUCCAAAUUCGGAUGAUUUCAACCGUGAAUCUCCUAGUUAUCCAUCUCCUAAGCCACCAACCAGUAUGUUUGCUAGCACUUUCUUUAUGCAAGAUGGGACCCACAAUUCUUCUGACCUUUGGAGUUCAUCAAAUGGGAUAAGCCAGCCUGGUUUUGGUGGAAUUCUGGGGACCUCCACUUCCCACAUGUCUCAGUCCAGUAGUUAUGGCAGCCUUCACUCCCAUGACCGCUUGAGUUACCCUCCACACUCAGUCUCGCCAACAGACAUGAGCACAAGUCUUCCCCCAAUGUCCAGCUUUCACCGCAGCAGCACCAGCAGUUCCCCUUAUGUUGCUGCCUCCCACACUCCUCCUGUCAAUGGAUCAGACGGCAUUCUGGGUGAGCUUUUUGGUUUACAAAACUUUCUAAGACCUAAUUUGGGGAUUUUUAGUGAACCCCAUGUCUUUCAUUGUAUUUUUUAGCAUUUAGUUUAAAAAUGAAGAGCCAGGCAUGGUGGUACAUGCCUGUAAUCCCAGAACUUGGGAGGCUGAGGCAGGAGGAUUGCUGGGUGGUUGAGGCCAGCAUGGACUAUGUAGUGAGUUCAAGGCCAGCCUGAACCACAUAGCAAGACUUUGUCUCCAGAAACCAAAAAAGAAAGAAGAGAAGAAAAUAAACUUUUAAUUUUUGUUAAUGGAGAAACUAAGAAGAACUAUGACUUUUAACUUGUGAAGUAUUACAAAGUAUUUCCUAAUUUGCUGUGACAAAUAAGUGCUAACAAUAGCAGUCACCUUUAGAAUAGUGGCAAUGAGCUAAGAAUGUAUCCUUUCCUGCUGNNNNNNNNNNNNNNNNNNNNNNNNNNNNNNNNNNNNNNNNNNNNNNNNNCUGAAAUUCUUGAUUUGUUUCCCUCCUCAAAAUAUCCAGGAACCAGAGGGAAUGCUGCUGGAAGCUCACAGACAGGUGAUGCACUUGGAAAGGCAUUGGCAUCUGUGAGUAUUGAUUUUCCAUGUUCUGCUGCAUCAUCUGCACUGCUGAAUGCUGUGGUUAGACUGUGUUAUAAAGGGAUUGUUAGAACUCAUUCACUUUAUUACUCUUUUAGAGCUAUUCUCAGUUUAUAUUGAUGCAAACCCUUAAACUAACUCAUAAAAAUACCUUCCUGUCUCACCCCUACAAGAACAGCUUUCUGACCUCAAUUUAAAUAUCUGUCUUUGUUUUAAUAUAUAGGUGAAAGGAAGAGAAAUUUGAGUGUUUUUUUAAUUUAAAGCACAAAUGGCUGAGAUCCAUCUUUAAGUUUGUGUAUUUGUUUUAAAUACAUACUUACUUAGUGACUCAUUAAAAUAAAUCAAGUAGUACCAAGAGAGGC
rnacentral:lncRNA from 1 species